UACAGAGGUGGCAAGCGUUGUUCGGAAUUACUGGGCGUAAAGGGCGCGUAGGCGGCUUGGUCAGUCCCGUGUGAAAUCCCUCGGCUCAACUGAGGAACUGCACGGGAAACUGCCUGGCUUGAGUUCGGGAGAGGGAAGCGGAAUUCCGGGUGUAGCGGUGAAAUGCGUAGAUAUCCGGAGGAACACCGGUGGCGAAGGCGGCUUCCUGGACCGACACUGACGCUGAGGCGCGAAAGCCAGGGGAGCAAACGGG
rnacentral:rRNA from 1 species